rnacentral:misc_RNA from 2 species
AACGCACAUUGCGCCCCCUGGUAUUCCGGGAGGCAUGCCUGUUCGAGCGUCAUUUCAACCCUCAAGCUCUGCUUGGUUAUUGGGCCCUGCCGGCAACGGCAGGCCUUAAAAUCAGUGGCGGUGCCUGGAGGCCCUGAGCGUAGUAUUUCUCUCGCUACAGGUGUCGACGGGUCGCUAGCCAGCAACCCCAAUUUUUUAUGGUUGACCUCGGAUCAGGUAGGGAUACCCGCUGAACUUAA